rnacentral:tRNA from 1 species
GGAUAUAGCUCAAUGGUCAGAGUGUUAAACUCGUAAUUUGAAUGCCUGGGUUCUAAUCCUGUACUUUUAACU